AUUGAACGCUGGCGGCAGGCCUAACACAUGCAAGUCGAACGGUAACAGGAAACAGCUUGCUGUUUCGCUGACGAGUGGCGGACGGGUGAGUAAUGUCUGGGAAACUGCCUGAUGGAGGGGGAUAACUACUGGAAACGGUAGCUAAUACCGCAUAACGUCGCAAGACCAAAGAGGGGGACCCUCGGGCCUCUUGCCAUCGGAUGUGCCCAGAUGGGAUUAGCUUGUGGUGGGGUAACGGCUCACCAAGGCGACGAUCCCUAGCUGGUCUGAGAGGAUGACCAGCCACACUGGAACUGAGACACGGUCCAGACUCCUACGGGAGGCAGCAGUGGGGAAUAUUGCACAAUGGGCGCAAGCCUGAUGCAGCCAUGCCGC
rnacentral:rRNA from 1 species